GACGAACGCUGACGGUGUGCUUUAGACAUGCAAGUCGAACGAGAAAGCCCUUCGGGGUGAGUACAGUGGCGAACGGGUGAGUAACACGUGGGCAACCUGCCCCUCGCAGGGGGACAACCGGAGGAAACUCCGGCUAAUACCCCGUAAGCUUGUUGGGUCGCAUGACCCUUCAAGGAAAGGUAGCUUCGGCCAUCCGGCGAGGGAUGGGCCCGCGGUACAUUAGCUAGUUGGUGGGGUAACGGCCCACCAAGGCGACGAUGUAUAGCUGGUCUGAGAGGAUGAUCAGCCACACUGGGACUGAGACACGGCCCAGACUCCUACGGGAGGCAGCAGUCGGGAAUCUUGCGCAAUGGGCGAAAGCCUGACGCAGCAACACCGUGUGAGCGACGAAGGCCUU
rnacentral:rRNA from 1 species